rnacentral:siRNA from 1 species
AAACCUUAAAAUCGACUGGAGAC